rnacentral:rRNA from 1 species
UUUAAAUGUAAAUUUUUAUACUUAAUUAGUAUUAGUUAUGUUCUUGAAAAUUAAAGAUUUUGGCGGUAUUAUAGUCUUUUUAGAGGAACCUGUUCUGUAAUUGAUAUUCCACGAUUAAUUUUACUUAUUUUAGAAAUUUGUAUAUCGUCGUAGUUUGAAUAUUUUAAAAGAAUUAUAAUAUUCAAGAUUUUUUAUUUAGAAAAGAAUUCAGAUCAAGGUACAGUUAAUAAAUAAGGAGAAAUGGGUUACAAUAAAUUUAUUUAUUAUUGGAUUAAAUAAUGAAAUUUAUUUAUAAAAUUGGAUUUAAGAGUAAUUUUUUAUAUUUAUUUAAAAUGAAUAAAGCUCUAUAAUAUGU